GACGAGGGGUCCUAGCGUUGUUCGGAAUCAUUGGGCGUAAAGCGGGUGCAGGCGGCUUUGCCAGUCAGAUGUGAAAGCCCAGGGCUCAACCCUGGAAGUGCAUUUGAUACUACAAAGCUUGAGUAUCGAAGAGGUUCGUGGAAUUCCAGGUGUAGUGGUGAAAUACGUAGAUAUCUGGAGGAACAUCGGUGGGGGAGCCGGCGGACUGGUCGAAUACUGACGUUCAGACCCGAAAGCGUGGGGAUCAAACAGG
rnacentral:misc_RNA from 1 species